CUCCCCAGUAGCUGGCUAAAUCACAUCCCUUCCUUCACUGUAUGGGCUGUUUUCAUCCCAUUUUCCAGACACCCUGCAGAGUCCCUGGCCUCAGGACCAGGGGAAAGCUGAAAGAGAGCAAGAGAGCAAGAGAGCAAGGAGCAGGGAGCAGAAGUAAAAUGGUGUGAGGAGGCAAACAAAAUUGGAAGAAAAGAAGAGUGAAGUUGUUACAGCCUGUGAAGACUCCGCAUCUGCAGAAGCAUCAGGACAGCCCAUGUCCCACACCUGCAAGGCAGAACCUACUUCCAAUAGAGCUUCUUCUCAAAACGGUUGGAGGGAGAGGCAGGCAGGUACAAGCAGAGGAGAGCAUAACUGGGAAAGGAUGGUGGAGAUCUCCAGUUCUGAUGACACAAUGUCCCCAUUGAUCACAGUUCUUCCCUCAGACAAUCCUCCCUUUCCCCUCUUGACUCUACACCUAUGUCUGAAGGAGUCAUAUCAGUGAGCAGGAUUUGUACUCCCUGUUUUAGAUGACCAAAAUGGAAAUGAGACACAUCUAUGGCAUUAUAAAAGCAAUCCAAGAUCAAGCUGCCUAUAAAUCCCAGCUGCCCUUGUAGACCCCUCUGGGAAGGACCUCAUGGCCAUUUUGUUUGCCCAAUCUUGACUGCAUCACGUUGCUGCAAGAACAGAUAAGAAAGAGGGAUGCUGUCUGGGCUGAGAACAGCAUAGCCACGCUGUCUCAAUUGCAGGUGAGGAUGUACAUGGACCAGUGCUGCCGAGUGGCAUGGGUUCAGAUGUUCCCAAUUUAGAAAGCACUAAAUGUCACCUCAAGCUCACAGCUAAGUCUGGGGUGGUCUCCAUGUAAUGUGGGCAUAAUAUUAGGAGCAGUAGAGUGUAUGGGCAUGUGUCCAAACUACAAUGUACACACUGCUGCUGAAAAAUAGCUAGCAUUUAAACUGUUUGUCUCAGUAUUACAGGAAAAAUCCACUUUUGUGCUUCUUCCUUUCCCUAAUGUAGAUGGCUGGAGGGUGCAGAGAGCAGUGCAUGGUCUCCCUGCAGCUCACCAGCUCUAGUCUGCCUAGCAUCCUCAACUAUUUAGCUUCAGGCAUUGGCAUGUGUGCAAGAUACAUCAGUCACUGCUGUGGUGCAGAAAACAAAGGAGAUCUCAGCACAGCAUGAGCCAAAGAUGCCUGAAAAACAGUUGCUCUCUGUUCAAACAUGCAGGCUGCAUCCUUGCAAGGAGUUAAGCCAGCCAAGUAUAAAAUCUUGAAAAAGGAAAAGGAUCUGCAUUAAUCUUCAUCUGUUAGUGAAAGAGCCUGCUUUUUUACAAGCUGAAAUUCGAUGUUAAUCAAAUUGCUCACCUUCCUCCGGAGGAAAUAAGCACACUGAAAAACAGUAUGGGAUUUGAGUAUAAGUUGGCAGGCAAAAUGUGGUAGCUCAAGUCAAGAGGCUUGUGCUAACAGGCAGCCUCUUCAUUUGAAAUGAAUGCCAGAGUAAUGCAAGCAGUGGGGACCCACCAUCUCUAAAAUGAAGUGGAAACCUCAGCUCCUGUCCAGGCUCUGAACCCCUUUUCACCUCCAAGUGAAUGCUUUGGGGGAGCAGGCAGGGUACUGCAAUAAAUGCUGUCAUUAACAACUCACUGCACAAAGAGGGAGGCAGCUGGACAAGAAAGACCCCAGGCCCUGGUGACCUGGUCUUCAAAGGCAAGAAGUGUCUGCAACAGCUGGUAGGGGCUGGGUUUUGUGGCAAUUCCUCACUCUUCAUCCAGCUCAAAAGCUGGGCUGAUAAGAGCUAGUGACCUCUACGGAUCUCACAGUGAUCACCUUUAACAGAAGCCACCAAACUACUUUAAUGUGACUUUCCUCCUAUUGUGGGCCAUGGGUUCAUCAUUUCCAUGGGACAAGGCUCCAUGUGGGAUGGCCUGAGUCUUAACAUGUCAGCAUUUCCAAGAAUCCCUGAACUUCCAGGAAUCCCUGAAUUUCCAGGAAAUCACUCGUUCCUGCCUUUCUUCAGCAGUGCCCCUCCUACAAGCACAAAGUCAAGCAUUUCAUGUUUCAGCUGCAAAGCCUGGUGUCACCUCUUCCUAGGUAGUUGCACAUAGUGGUACUUGGAGCAGCUGGACAGUGACAAUUUUGAAUGCUGUUCCCUCACUCUUUAACCUCUGUCCACAUGACAGAUACUUUGGACAACUGUCUUUCUUGCAGAUAAACCAUAAAUCAGGUUUAAUUGUUUCCAGACAUAACCAAAGCUGCUCUCACUCACACUUCCACCUUGAAGCUGUCACUGACUGCAGCAACUUCUCAUCACGCAGUGACUCAGCAGCUGCCGGGGCAUUUCUGAGCUGCUUGUUUGGAUGCUGUCAUGUUCCUCCCAGGAUCCCCUUGCAAUUAAGGCUCCUGAUGCAGUGCCAGAAGAUCUGGGUUUGGUUCUUUGCUCCACAGUGAAGGUCUUGCUUUGCACGGAAGACAUUUACGCAUCUAACUCCUCAGUCCCUGCCCUGAGAAUGGGUCCUGGCUGGGAGGCAGACAGGGGCUUGCUCAGAGCUGCCUCCUCCGUGCCCUGGAGGAGGCUUCAUGGACACCGAGGGCAGGACAGGCUCACCUGCACCCAUAGCAGGGCUCACAGGGAGGAUGAGGAAGGCAGAGACGUGGCUGCUGGGCCUUGAGCCCACAAUUUUUUCCCCUGUUUUUAAGAUACAAAGGGCAGAAUUGGUGGCAUCCCCCCGGCUCCACGCCCUAAGCAGCGAGCAGGCAGCUGAGUGCGAUGCAUGAUGCUCAGUGCUCAUUGGGUUUCCUGGGGACUUACUGCACAAGUGUGAAAGCAGCUCGGUCCAACUUCUGGAGCCAUCCUCUGUUUGUCAUGGACCUGUAAGGGAAGAAAAUGUCCUUAAGCAUCUGACUCCUCCUAUACUGUGGGAAAAAAUCCCAGUUCUUGUUAAGUUCUGGUAAAACAGCAUCACCCCUGAAGAGACUGAGUUCGAAAGUGCUUUUCUGGAGACUGCUUUGCACCCCAGGACAAGGCUCAGCCUGGCCUUGCUUGCAGAAAUCAGACUUCUACAUUUGCAAAUACUUCAGAGAUAAAGGGUGCCUCAGAAACUGGGAAGAGGAUUAUUUUGACUCCAGACUUCUGUGUUUCGACUCCAUCCAUGGAUUCACAAACAGCAUCUGGCAUGCCUCUGCUCAGGCGUUCUCGCAGGCUAUAAAAUGUUGUGAGUGCAAAGACAGGGAAAAAAAGAUAUCGAAGUCCCUAUGGGUAUCUUUUCUUAAUGAUUCUCUUCUGAUAUGACACUGAGUUUGUGGCAGUUUUAAUGACUGGUCUGUUCAUCAAUGUCUAAGCUCUGCAAUGAAGUAUGUUAGCCAUUCCCCACUUGACAGAGGAAAUGCCUUGAUAUUCAUCCACACAGUAAAUAAAGUAAGACCAAACAGAAAGAUAAUUGAGGAAAGAUAUCCAAUGGAGACGCAAAUUAGCCUCCCUGUAUAAAGGCAGUUAUAGAUCCUGGGAUUUUGUGUACUUAUUACUUCUAUUAAAUGUGACAUAUUGAAAGCUUCC